rnacentral:misc_RNA from 1 species
GUUUGGGCUGGCCUUACUUUUGUGUUGGUUGCUCAGUCAGUCUCGAACUGGGGCACUACAUGAAAUCUCCCUAGACGUUGCCUUCAAUUGUUAAAGAAAAGGGUGCAUGUAUGUGAACUUUGAAUGUGUGCAUACAUGGCCUUUUCUUUUCUUAUUCAAAAUAAUGACCAUCAGUAUACUUUAUCAGAUUGGCAAGAGCUUAGGUUUCUUUUGUUGUUGCUUGAUAUCAAAUCUAAGAGCUUAUCAGAAAAUUUGCAUGAUUUAGUUAGAUAGUGUCUGGAAGGUUCAUUUCUUAUGAUUAAAACCAAUUUUUGGUAGAGAAGAAAUUGUUGGAGGAUGUAGAGAGCAAUCAAGAAUCUAUCAUUUUCUUAUUUCCUCUAUUUCAAAUUCUGGAAGUCUUGCUAAUUUUCCAUUGCUUAGAAAAUGUGCUAUAAGGAUUAAAUUAUUUCAUUUGGUGUGAAGAUCUGUUGAUAACACAUUGCUUGUGGAUUUGCUUUUGAGUCCUGC